GUNCUGGCUCAGGAUGAACGCUAGCGACAGGCUUAACACAUGCAAGUCGAGGGGCAGCACAGGUAGCAAUACCGGGUGGCGACCGGCGCACGGGUGAGUAACGCGUAUGCAACUUACCUAUCAGAGGGGGAUAACCCGGCGAAAGUCGGACUAAUACCGCAUGAAGCAGGGGUCCCGCAUGGGGAUAUUUGCUAAAGAUUCAUCGCUGAUAGAUAGGCAUGCGUUCCAUUAGG
rnacentral:rRNA from 1 species